rnacentral:rRNA from 1 species
AACGAACGCUGGCGGCGUGCUUAACACAUGCAAGUCGAACGUGAAAGGCUUCGGCCGAGUAAAGUGGCGCACGGGUGAGUAACGCGUGGGUAAUCUGCCCUUGGGCGGGGGAUAACCUCUCGAAAGGGGGGCUAAUACCGCAUGAGACCACGGCUUCUCGGGGCUGUGGGAAAAGGUGGGUCGCAAGGCCUGCCACCUGAGGAUGAGCCCGCGUACCAUUAGGUUGUUGGUGGGGUAAUGGCCUACCAAGCCGAAGAUGGUUAGCUGGUCUGAGAGGACGAUCAGCCACACUGGGACUGAGACACGGCCCAGACUCCUACGGGAGGCAGCAGUGGGGAAUAUUGCGCAAUGGGGGAAACCCUGACGCAGCAACGCCGCGUGUGUGAAGAAGGCCUUCGGGUCGUAAAGACACUGUUGGAGGAACGAGCCGCUCGUGGGGAAGUAUCUGCGAGCCCGACGGUACCUCCUGAGGAAGCACCGGCUAACUCCGUGCCAGCA